UACGUAGGAGGCAAGCGUUUGUCCGGAAUUACUGGGCGUAAAGCGCGUGUAGGUGGUGGGACAAGUCUGCUGUGAAAGCGCCUGGCUUAACCGGGCGAGGUCGGCGGAAACUGUCCGACUCGAGGACGGUAGAGGGGGGUGGAAUUCCCGGUGUAGUGGUGAAAUGCGUAGAGAUCGGGAGGAACACCUGUGGCGAAGGCGGCCCCCUGGGCCGGCCCUGACACUGAGACGCGAAGGCGUGGGGAGCGAACGGGG
rnacentral:rRNA from 1 species